rnacentral:tRNA from 1 species
GGCUGGAUAGCUCAGCUGGCUAGAGCAAUCGGUUCAUACCCGGUCGGUCGACGGUUCGAAUCCGCCUCCAGCUACCA